GCCGCUAUAGCUCAGUGGUUGUGAGCGUUGGUCUCGUAAACCGUGCUGGGUCGCAAGUUCGAAUCUUGUUGGCGGCA